rnacentral:rRNA from 1 species
GAUGAACGCUGGCGGCGUGCCUAAUACAUGCAAGUCGAGCGCGAAGAUCAGGAGCUUGCUCCUGAGAUUUGAGCGGCGGACGGGUGAGUAACACGUAGGCAACCUACCCUUGAGAUUGGGAUAACUACCGGAAACGGUAGCUAAUACCGGAUACGACUUUUCCACACAAGUGGAACUGUUAAAAGGCGGAUUUAUCUGCCGCUCAUGGAUGGGCCUGCGGUGCAUUAGCUAGUUGGUGAGAUAGUAGCUCACCAAGGCGACGAUGCAUAGCCGACCUGAGAGGGUGAUCGGCCACACUGGAGCUGGGACACGGCCCAGACGCCUACGGGAGGCAGCAGUAGGGAAUCUUCCGCAAUGGACGAAAGUCUGACGGAGCAACGCCGCGUGAGGGAUGAAGGGUUUCGGCUCGUAAAACUCUGUUGUUAAGGAAGAACACUUGAGGUAGUAACUGGCCUUGAGAUGACGGUACUUAACCAGAAAGCCACGGCUAACUACGUGCCAGCCGCCGCGGUAA